UAGGGAAUCUUCCACAAUGGACGCAAGUCUGAUGAGCAACGCCGCGCGAGUGAAGAAGGUCUUCGGAUCGUAAAACUCUGUUGUUAGAGAAGAACACGAGUGAGAGUAACUGUUCAUUCGAUGACGGUAUCUAACCAGCAAGUCACGGCUAACACGCGCCAG
rnacentral:rRNA from 1 species